rnacentral:rRNA from 1 species
UACGUAGGCAGCGAGCGUUGUUCGGAAUUACUGGGCGUAAAGAGUGUGUAGGCGGUGCUCUAAGUUCGGUGUGAAAUCUCCUGGCUUAACUGGGAGGGUGCGCCGGAAACUGGGGUGCUCGAGCGUGGGAGAGGAAAGCGGAAUUCCUGGUGUAGCGGUGAAAUGCGUAGAUAUCGGGAGGAACACCGGUGGCGAAGGCGGUUCUCUGGGCAUUACCUGACGCUGAGGGGCGAAAGUGUGGGGAGCGAACAGG